UUCGUGCUUUGGAGGGGGUUGGGUUAAGUUCCCCGCAAAGGAGCGCCAACCCCUUAUUGUUAGUUGCCCAGCCACGUAAUGGGUGGGGGACUCUUAGCAAAGACUGCCGGCGUAAAGCCGAGAGGAAGGUGGGGACGACGUCAAAUCAUCAUGGCCUUUAUGCCCAGGGCGACACACGUGCUACAAUGGCCGGUACAGAGGGUUGCAAUACCGCGAGGUGGAGCUAAUCCCAGAAAGCCGGUCCCAGUUCGGAUUGGAGUCUGCAACUCGACUCCAUGAAGGUGGAAUCGCUAGUAAUCGCGCAUCAGCCAUGGCGCGGUGAAUACGUUCCCGGACCUUGUACACACCGCCCGUCAAGCCAUGGGAGCCGGGGGUACCUGAAGAUGGUGACUUUACGGGGAGCUAUCUAAGGUAAAACUGGUAACUGGGGCUAAGUCGUAACAAGGUAA
rnacentral:rRNA from 1 species